rnacentral:misc_RNA from 1 species
GAUGAAGAACGCAGCGAAAUGCGAUAAGUAAUGUGAAUUGCAGAAUUCAGUGAAUCAUCGAAUCUUUGAACGCAUCUUGCGCUCCUUGGUAUUCCGAGGAGCAUGCCUGUUUGAGUGUCAUUUAACUUCUCAACCACAUUGGAUAUUUUUUUUCCGAUGCCGGCUUGGAUGUGGGGGUUGUUUGCAGGCUUUUUGUAACAAAAAAGGUCGGCUCCCCUGAAAUGUAUUAAUGGUAUCUGAGGCUAUUACUAUUAGGUGUGAUAAUUAUCUAUGCCUUUUGGGUAUGCCGCAUGAACAGAUUAUGCUGCUUCUAACGAAAACUAUUUUGAUGAAUUUGACCUCAAAUCAGGUAGGACUACCCGCUGAACUUAAGCAUAUCAAUAAGCGGAGGA